rnacentral:rRNA from 1 species
AUACGUAGGGAGCGAGCGUUGUCCGGAAUUACUGGGCGUAAAGGGUGCGUAGGCGGUCAGGCAAGUCAGAUGUGAAAUCCCCGGGCUUAACUCGGGUGGUGCAUUUGAAACUGCUUGACUUGAGUGCAGGAGAGGAAAGCGGAAUUCCUAGUGUAGCGGUGAAAUGCGUAGAUAUUAGGAGGAACACCAGUGGCGAAGGCGGCUUUCUGGACUGUAACUGACGCUGAGGCACGAAAGCGUGGGGAGGC